UACGGAGGGUGCAAGCGUUAUCCGGAUUCACUGGGUUUAAAGGGUGCGUAGGUGGGUUGGUAAGUCAGUGGUGAAAUCUCCAGGCUUAACUUGGAAACUGCCAUUGAUACUAUCAAUCUUGAAUACCGUGGAGGUCAGCGGAAUAUGUCAUGUAGCGGUGAAAUGCUUAGAUAUGACAUAGAACACCAAUUGCGAAGGCAGCUGGCUACGCGGAUAUUGACACUGAUGCACGAAAGC
rnacentral:rRNA from 1 species